CCUACGGGUGGCAGCAGUGAGGAAUAUUGGUCAAUGGGCUGGAGCCUGAACCAGCCAAGUCGCGUGAGGGAAGACGGUCCUACGGAUUGUAAACCUCUUUUGUCGGGGAGCAACGGGGUCCUCGCGAAGCCCCGAUGAGAGUACCCGAAGAAAAAGCAUCGGCUAACUCCGUGCCAGCAGCCGCGGUAAUACGGAGGAUGCGAGCGUUAUCCGGAUUUAUUGGGUUUAAAGGGUGCGUAGGCGGGAUGUUAAGUCAGCGGUAAAAUGUCGGGGCUCAACCCCGGCCUGCCGUUGAAACUGGCGUCCUCGAGUGGGCGAGAAGUAUGCGGAAUGCGUGGUGUAGCGGUGAAAUGCAUAGAUAUCACGCAGAACUCCGAUUGCGAAGGCAGCAUACCGGCGCCCGACUGACGCUGAGGCACGAAAGCGUGGGUAUCGAACAGGAUUAGAUACCCCAGUAGUC
rnacentral:rRNA from 1 species